rnacentral:lncRNA from 1 species
AGGAAAUAUUUUGCAAAUCAGGAAAUGACACGGGGCAAGGCCUCUGCUCUCCGGGGCUACGGCCUCCCACAGGCACGUUCCUACACCCCUCUGUGAACUGCCCACGGGCCCCCCACCACAGGUGCUCCUCUGUGAGCUGGUCGGGCGGCUGGGGCCGGGGCCGGGCUCCGCUGCUCCGUGCCUUCCACCUCCCUGGCGGUGCGGGGCCUCAGGGUGGGCCUGGGAAGCUGGAAACACCUUUGGAAACAGCCGCCUGAGGCAGCUGUGGACAGGAGACCCUGCCCAGCAGCCAAGGGAGCUGGCCUCUCCGCGCAGCCUCCCCACCCCCACCAGGCCCAGCUGUUGUUUUCACGGCUCCGGGACCAGGCGGAUCCUCAGCCAAGAGCUUCCCAGGAGAGCCCUCAUCUUCAACCCCUAGUGGCGACCAGAGCCAGCCCGGGCAGGAG